GUUUUAGGGAGUAGGUAUGUUAUCCAUAAUGUUAACCAGCUUGGAGUAUUUUCAGGGUUUCUGAUGAUACUAGAGAAACAGUCCUUUAAUUGGCUGUGUG